rnacentral:lncRNA from 1 species
GUAAUUCUUCCAAGUCCUGGUUAUUAUUUUUUUAUUAUUCUGUUGAUAUGAUUUUUUGGUUUUGUUACGUGAUUUGAGGUUUGGAAUUUGAUGGGUUUUGUGGGAUGUGAAUAUGUAUGAUUAACUUCAUGUUUGACUGCGUGGAUUGAGUCUUAAAAUUGAGAUCGAUGGUUUAGAUUAGAAAUUUGAGUAUGGGGAUUGGAUGAUUUUGUUGUGUGAAUUUGGGAUUUGAUUGGUAACCUUGAGAAGAAAUUAUUUAUGAUGAAUUUGUUUAUAUUUGACUACGUGAUUGAGUCUUGAAAAUUAGAUUGAAUCCUGAUUUAUGUUACUGUGGGAUGAUAGUGAUUAGAAACUUGAGUUGGUGAUUGGAUCUUGGGGGUUUGAAUUAAUUUGGUUUGGAGCUCGUUUGAAAUGAGUCAUUAGUAUUUACAUAUUAAAUAUUGAGAUGAUGGUUCAACUUCAUAAAUGUUUAAUUUCUGAUCCUCCUUGAAAUUAAUAUUAAGAAACUAAAUUAUUAAACUUAGAAAAUCAGAUUUUCGUUUUUUUUCUUUUUUUCUUUUUUUGCAGUUAGUGAUUUAGCCAUUCUAAUUUUAAUAUCUGGAAGACGUGUAUAAAGAAUACUUGGAAGGUUCUCCUGUAACUAUUUCUUUCUAGGAUGUUCAAGAAUUUGAAGAUGGAAAUACUAUAUGCGAUUUUAAUUUUGUAGGUGGUGAAAAAUUUGCUGCUGAUGGUUUGAUUUUGGGGAUGCUUAUUUUUACUGUGUACAUUUAUAGGAUGGUCAAGAAUUUGAAGAUGGAAAUACUUUAUGUGAUAUUUAUUUUGUAGGUGGUGAAAAAUUUACUGCUGAUGGUUUAAUUUUGGGGAUGCUUAUUUUUACUGUGUAGAUUUAUAUAUGAGGCCACUCUGUGUCUGUCUCUGUGAUGGUACAUCGUCUUAGUAUGUUAAGGUCAAAGUGCAAUUGAAGCUCCAUGAUAAACAACUAUGAUAUUUGAUUGAUGUCAUGGUGAGUUGGUAACCACAUGAUUUUGCUUCAAAAUUUUGUUUUGAGACUUGCAUAACUUGAAAUAUGAGGCUGUGUGACAAAUUCUUAAUGAAUCUAAUAUUGAAUUGCCUGCUUGUCUGGCCUCUUUUGAUGAGACGAUAUAAGUU